rnacentral:lncRNA from 1 species
CCCUACUGCUAAGCAGCCCAAGUGGGUAUCUCCCCAAAGUUGGCAGGUGCUGCUCGAGACUUCCCGGAGGAGGGGGGCCGCCGUGGUUCUGGCCCGGUGCGGUGACUCGUAGCUGUUCACCGAGCGGACAACUGACCGGUUCAUCAGUGAACAAUAGUCAGCUAUGAAGAUGUAAGGGAAAAGUCCUCGGCUAACAUUGUCGCAGCUUGAAAGGUAAGCCCUUCUCCACGUGGUUGGGAAACCCAUCUAGCAUGAUGUCGUGUGAUGCCCACUGGACU